CAACCAUCAAGCCCUGCUUGUGUUGGGGUCCUGCGGCUGCCCGCAGGCCCUGAAAACCAGUGGCGGGCUCGCUAGUCACACCGAGCGCAGUAAUACAUCUCGCUUUGGUCGUGCGGCGGGUUCUUGCCGUUAAACACCCCCCCUUUUAAAGG
rnacentral:misc_RNA from 1 species